ACAAACAUGAUUAUUAAGACUUGAAAAAUGUUUAGAGUUGCCGGCCGGCGGUUUUUGACACGUCACCCCAAAUUCCGCAGAAAGGACUUUUCCUAUGAUAAGAAGUCUCUAUAAAUCGGAUGUUCAGUAGUAUUACGAUGCAUUCGAGUAUCUGCGUGUAUAUGAAUCUAUAAUGACUAGCAAUAUCGCCCGAUAACUAUUGAUAUAACGAAUUAUGCAUGAACCGAUAGCUGAUGAAAAGUCUUAUUUGCAUUGCAUCAGCCAAUUCGAUCAAGAAAACAACUCGAAAGCCUGUUGCCGGUCAAAAAUUGCCUAUAGGAAAAGAAAACUAUUAAAAAAGAAAAAGAAUACAACCUUAGGAUUCCCCAAGCUAGUGCAAAUUAUGAUGCAAAUUUAAAUUCCCCAAAAUCUUGUUUUACGCUUUCAUAGGUUUAAUGACAUCCAGGACCCCCCCAUCUUAUACGCCCUUCUCCCAGUGGUUAUUAAAAAAAAGUCGUUUGAAGAUUCCCAAAGCAGCAAAUCGGAUAUUGAACGUCGAAUUCGCCGUUUUAAAUGUCAAAAUCUGCAUUUAACCUGUAUAAUAUAUAGCCAAGUAUGUCUGCCAAAUAUUUUGUUCAGACUGCAUUAUGCAAAUGGGCCAGACACACGGUUUAAUAAUUAAAUAAUGU